UCUUGAUCAUUUUAUAAAAGUUUUAUUGGUUUUCAAUUUUAUUAUUCAAUAUAAAUUUAUGGUAUAUUGUUUUUUUACAAUUCGAUCAUAAGUCUUUUGAUUUUUCUAUCCUUUUGUUAAUGUUAUUAUUCGUUUCAAUUUAACCCUCAAAUUAAAAAUUUGUUGUUGCCUUCUAAUUUAUUUUUUUAUUUUGAUUUUCACUCCCAUUCUUUUAAUUUCUAUUUUUUUUAUUUUGAAUCUAUAUUUUGUGUAGUUUUUUUCCAAUUUUGUCCUUUAGUGUUUCAUUUCUUUAGGAUUGAGCUUCAUAGUUUUUUCAUAUAGGAUGCUUCCGGUCUUAUGAUCUAAGUCACAGAUUCACAGGUUUAAAAAGUUAAUAGGGUUAAUAUUUUUUGGCUUAUUUUCUUUUCCAAUAUCGUCAUCCAACAUUGGUAUUUUUUUAAAAAUUAAUUUUGUGGUUUUUUUCAAUUUCUUUUCUUUUCCUACUGUGUUAUUCCAAUUUUAUAACUUAGGAUAUGAGUUUGAUAUGUUAACCCAUACUGACUUGCUCGUUAAUGUUUAAAUUACAUAUUUAUCAUAUUAAUUCGAGUUGAUUUAUACCGAUUUUUUUAUUUUUUUCAUUAUAUUUUUUCAUUUCAUAUUUAAUUGGCUAAAAACUAAACAACAUGCAUAUAUUUGUUGAUCUGGGUCCAGCCCAGUCUGUUUUAUAUUAGUUGUAGGCGGCCCAAAACAAAAGUGGUAGCGUAGAGCUGACGGGCACAGGCGACCAUAUACGCACACCCCAUAUGUGGUAAAGGCUGCAAGGCAAAACCCUAAAGAUAAGUAGAUGCGCUGAAGCUUUCGCACGCUCUCGUAAUGCUUCAUUCUCACAACGGCAAAGUGUUAUUGCAUCAUCCUAAUGAUUAUCAUCAGCCGUUGUGGGAAUGAACAUUAUGAGACUGUGUAUACAGAUAGAUUCAUUAAAGCGUAUGUUUUUUUUUUUUUUAAAAUAAGUAAAACAAUAUGUGUGAUUCCUUCCAAUUCCAUUUGCUUGGUUUAUUUUCAUCGUCCCUUAAAGAAAUUUAAGAACAAGUGGCAUUGGAGGUAUCCCAUGUAAUGUUUUUUUAUGUGUACUUAGUCUUUUUUUCCAUCGUACGGUUUCUGAGCACGAGGAUGUCUUGUAUUAAGCCAUCACCAGACAACAGGCUGGAUAGGCAGGAAGAAAUGUGUUUUGUCUUAAUCAUGCAAAUCUCGAUGAAUCUUAAUCCCAUGUAUUCAGCGAUGUCGUGGGUUUUUUCACAAAGGCAAAGCUUUCGAGUUGUAGGUGUUCUUGGAAAAUCUUGAGUUAAUAGUUGAUAGCUUCUUCAAUUUUUUUGUAUGAUGCAAGCUAUAGAUUUGAAUCCUUCCCUUUUUGUUGUAAUUACCAUAAUUGAUAGUGAUCGGAGUUUUUUUUCAUUUUACAGUAUACAAACUGGAAUAUUUAUAGAGUACAUUCUUGAUUUAA